GCGUGGAUGAAGAAGGCCCUAGGGUUGUAAAGUCCUUUCACCGCUGAAGAUAAUGACGGUAAGCGGAGAAGAAGCCCCGGCUAAUUUCGUGCCAGCAGCCGCGGUAAUACGAAAGGGGCUAGCGUUGUUCGGAAUUACUGGGCGUAAAGCGCACGUAGGCGGCCGCGCAAGUUAGGGGUGAAAUCCCGGGGCUCAACUCCGGAACUGCCUUUAAAACUGCGUAGCUAGAGGAUGUCAGAGGAUAGUGGAAUUCCGAGUGUAGAGGUGAAAUUCGU
rnacentral:rRNA from 1 species